GACGAACGCUGGCGGCGCGCCUAACACAUGCAAGUCGAACGGAGCUAUUUUGGUGAAGUCCUUCGGGAUGGAACUGGCUUAGCUUAGUGGCGGACGGGUGAGUAACACGUGAGCAACCUGCCUCUCAGAGGGGGAUAACGUUUGGAAACGAACGCUAAUACCGCAUAACAUAACAGAAUCGCAUGGUUUUGUUAUCAAAGGAGCAAUCCGCUGAGAGAUGGGCUCGCGUCCGAUUAGAUAGUUGGUGAGGUAACGGCCCACCAAGUCGACGAUCGGUAGCCGGACUGAGAGGUUGAUCGGCCACAUUGGGACUGAGACACGGCCCAG
rnacentral:rRNA from 1 species